rnacentral:tRNA from 1 species
GGCGGCAUGGCCAAGUGGUAAGGCGGGGGACUGCAAAUCCUUUAUCCCCAGUUCAAAUCCGGGUGUCGCCUGAUCCACCAA